rnacentral:rRNA from 1 species
UACGUAGGUGGCAAGCGUUGUCCGGAAUUAUUGGGCGUAAAGCGCGCGCAGGCGGUUUCUUAAGUCUGAUGUGAAAGCCCACGGCUUAACCGUGGAAGGUCAUUGGAAACUGGGAGACUUGAGUGCAGAAGAGAAGAGCGGAAUUCCACGUGUAGCGGUGAAAUGCGUAGAGAUGUGGAGGAACACCAGUGGCGAAGGCGGCUCUUUGGUCUGUAACUGACGCUGAGGCGCGAAAGCGCGGGGAUCAAACAGG